GUGGCCUCUCAGCAAGCAACGAUAUAGAGUAAAGCAAACUGAAAACUGAGAUGAGCAACCCCUGGGUGAGCAAAGUGGUGAUGCUGAGCAGAGACCCACCUGACACACCCUAGGCAACAUGUGUCCUUGACUGCUUGAACAACAUUAGUACUCUGAGUGCUGGCCUAGAAAUGUCUCUCUGAAAUCAAGGACGAAAUCAAGACACAGUAAUAAAAACUGGCAAAACAGCCUGUGAUCAACUGCUAACUUUCAUAAAAGACUAACACAGCAACUGAACAGAAUACAAAGUAAGUGCCUGCCACCCUGGCUGAACUGGGAAACAAAUCACUGUUCAGCCAAGAGAUGCUACGGCUCUACUCUCAUUUUGCACAGCUCUGUGCUAGGAGAGCUCCAUAACUUUGUGAACAGAGUUCAUGUUUAUCUGGGAAGCUACUGCCGUGCUCUCAGGCCAGAACACUGCUUCUGCUCCUUUAUCCCAGGGACUUUUUUGUUUUAUUCGUCAUAGUAACCACAGGAAAUUACAAGUACCACCAAGACACACCGAUGAUAAAUAAAGAUUUGGAGCUGCCUUUCCUUUCCCUUUCCCGUUUAUGGGAGAGCUUUAUCUACUAUGACAGUAACCACCAGGAGAAUCAGCUUCAGUCCAGUCCUCCAGUCCUAUAUUGUAUGUUCAGCUUUCCUGAGAACAAAGAGGAGGUCCUGGUUCAUUAUUCAAAAAUGCUGUGACUAAAACUCAAAAUAGAAAAGAAAGCAUACCAGUAGGUGCUCAAUGAAGGAAACACCUGCUUUUCAUUUUCCUGCAGUGUUUAAAUGAAGCAAAUUAGAUAAUCCAAUUGAGGACAAAACUUUAAAUCCUGGUUAAAAAUCAGAGCCAUGUUAUGCUACCUCAGACUGACAAGCAGAGCAAAUGCAUGUUUGAGUCAAUUUAAUUUUUGGUGGUUCUUAAUUAAGUUUAAGAACUCGAACAGAAAGUAUGCUAUUACCUUCUACCUGAUAGAAUUUCUAGUGUCUUGCUGCAAGUGUGUCACACUAAAAUGUUUUUAUUACUUGCAUAACAGAACCACCCCUUACACUAGAGGGGGGACUUGCAGGAUAAGGCGUUCUCCUUGAAGGGGUGUGUGGUGUGGGGCAGACCUGCAAGAGACACCCAAGCAGACACCCUGGGAGAGGCACAUCCAUGGUUCUGGCACACAGUUUGGUCUAACCCGCAGUGAUGAGCAAUAGCCUGCACUGGCUCAAUCCACUGACACACACAAGCAGCUCCUGGCAGGCAAGCAGCUCCCCAGGAACAGGCUUAGUUAAUCUACACAGCUCUACACCGUGCCAUGGAGACAGCUUGCAGUAAGAUAUGAGCAAGAUCCUUGCCUCAGGGAAUUCCAGCAUCCUUAAACACUUACAAUUGUCUAACAAUGCCAAAAUACCUCUGAGGUCUCAACUUUUAAAACAUGAGCAAGUAAGACAGAUAAAGCCCCGGAUGAAAAUACAUUCAAGCACAUGCACAGGAGCCAAGAGACUGAAGAACAAAGGAGCCACAUUUCCAUGACUUCCAAGCCAGUGCACAGACUGCUGGGGCAAUCGAGCUCUGAUGGUAUUUCCUCUGAAUUCCAUUCAGCCCCUACCCCAAAAGCUGGUCACUAGGCUGGAAGCAGGGACAAGCCAUAUGCAGGAACUCCUCAGCCUGUGGAGCAACACUGGGGGUCCUGUGCAGCUGGUCCCAGCACUUCUGCAACCACAGAAGUACCAUCAUAGCCACCAG